GUGCCUAAUAGUAUAUGAAAAAGUGAUAGGAUGCCACUCCUAUGAUUACAUCACAUUAUAUAAAUCUUGCUAGUCGACUGCUUUAGAGCUUCUCCUUGCUGGUUCAAUGAAGUAAGCAACUAUGUUGAAAAAGUCCACAUGGCAAAGAACUGCUGGUGGCCUGUAAGACCUGAGGGCAGCCUCCAGCUGAAAACUGACAGGCAGAAAAAAGUCAGGGUCCUCAGUCCACAGCUACAGUGAAAUGAAUUCUGCAACCACCUGAUUGAGCUUGAAAUCUGAUGCUUUCCCAGCUAAGCCUCCAGAUGAAAAUGCAGCUCGGUUGAAACCCUGCAAAAAUGAGCAGAGAACCCAGCCAAGUUGUGACUGGAGACUCCUGACUUACGGACAAUAAGAGAGGAAAUGUCUUUUGAAAGCUUCACUGACGCCAAGCAGAUUUCUUCCAACAAUUUCUUGCUUCUUGUGAUGUUAGAAGAGCAAUUAUGUUCCUGUGAGCAGCUGAUGGAGGACAUUAUCAACAUGGAAGUACUUCUUUGUGAGAGAACUGUCAGCUUACGUUUAUAUUAAUAGAUAUUACCUUUGGACUAUAUCUGUGGGAAAAGAAAAGCUAUUUCAGUCUCCUUCUGAAGAGGGUGAAGAUCUCUACCCCGAAAUGUAAGUGUUUUGCUCUGGGUAAAUUAGGAGAAAUCUUAAUCUCCAGAUGGGAUCAACUGGCUACAAUUAAGGAGACAAAAGAUUGCAGAUCUAGUAUCCAUACUAUAUGAAGAGAACAUUUAUUUUU
rnacentral:lncRNA from 1 species